rnacentral:lncRNA from 1 species
UUACACUGAGGUUCCUUCAUAGAUAAGUGCUCUAUCCUUCUUUUUUUUUUUUGCUAUUUCUUUCUUUUAUACACUAAAGUUCUCUCUUUUAUUUGCAGAGGGUGUUGCAUCCCCUCCUACUUCAAAGGAUCCUCAUCCUCAAGGAUCAAAUUAAGGGUAGAGGCUCUUGAGGACCCAGUAGUCCUCCCAGGUAGCUUCUUCCUCGCUGAGGUUACUCC